CCCCCCCCCCUCGUUCAGGCUGGCCCUGAGGCUGCAGCGGGUGGGUCGGGUGCGCCGAGGGCCAGUACCCCGCAGCAGGUGGGUGGGGUGCAGGCGGCGCCGGCUGGGCCGGGGGCUGCCGGCGGCGCUCUGGCAGGGCACAGUGGCCGUGCGGGCGCGCCAUGGACUUCAACAUGAAGAAGCUGGCGUCGGACGCGGGCACCUUUUAUCCCGGGCCGUGCAGUUCAUUGAGUAGAAGUGUGGCCAGGCUGAGAAGACCGAGCUUGAUGCCCACUUUGAAAACCUUCUGGCCCGGCCAGACAGCACCAAGAACUGGACAGAGAAGAUCCUGAGGCAGACAGAAGUGCUGCUGCAGCCCAACCCUACUGCCCGGGUGGCAGAGUUCCUGUAUGAGAAGCUGGACAGGAAGGUCCCCUCACGGGUCACCAACGGAGAGCUGCUGGCACAGUACAUGGCAGAGGCGGCCAGUGAGCUGGGGCCCACCACCCUCUGUGGGAAGACACUGCUCAAGGUGGCAUUAGCUGAAAAGCAGCUGGGAGUCGCGGAGAGGGAUUUUAUCCACACAGCCUCCAUCGGCUUCCUCACACCCCUGCGCAACUUCCUGGAGGGGGCCUGGAAGACCGUCUCGAAGGAGAGGCGGCUCCUCCAAAACCGGCGUCUGGAUUGGAUGCCUGCAAAGCGAGGCUGAAGAAGGCCAAGGCCGCAGAAGCCAAAGCCACGACGGUGCCUGGCUUUCAGGAGACUAGAUUUCGUAAUUACAUUUUCUCAGCCAGCACCUCCGCGCUCUGGAACGAUGAGGUGGACAAGGCUGAGCAGGAGCUCCGUGUGGCCCAGACAGAGUUUGACCGGCAAGCAAAAGUGACCCUUCUCUUGCUGGAGGGAAUCAGCAGCACUCACGUGAACCACCUGCGCUGCCUCCAUGGAUUUGUCAAGUCUCAGACAACCUGCUAGGCGCAGUGCUACCGCCACAUGCUGGACUUGCAGAAGCAGCUGGGCAGAUUUCCAGGCACCUUCCUGGGCACCACAGAGCCCGCCUCGCCACCCCUGAGCAGCACCUCACCCACCACUGCUGCAGCCACUAUGCCUGUGGUGCUCUCGGUGGCCAGCCUGGCCCCUUUGGGGGAGGCCUCGCUCUGCCUGGAAGAGGUGCCCCCAGUGGGACCUGCAAAGCUUGGGUGCUCUAUGACUACGAGGCAGUGAGCUGGCCCUGCUGGCUGAUGAGCUCAUCACUGUCUACAGCAUGCCUGGCAUGGACCCUGACUAGCUCAUUGAGAGGCAACAAGAAGGGCAAGGUCCCUGUCACCUAUUUGGAACUGCUCAGCUAGGCAGGUUCCCUCCCAGGCCCCCCUGCCCCCAUUCUGGCCUGGGCAGGAGAGGAUGGCACAGCCCUGCCACUUACCUUGUUCGUUGGUGACACAGCUGCUCAGGAUGGGGAGAAUUCACCCCAUUCUGUCCCUGCCCCUGGUCACCUAGCUGUGAGGGUGCCUGAGGCUGAAUGGCCCCCGCCCCUCCCCUAGACCUGCUUCUGACCUGGGGCUCCGGAGCCCCCGCCCCUGCCUGCAUCCCCCAGCGCCUCACCCUCCCGGCUCCACCAGGGAGGGAGGGACUGGCUGCAGCAGCUGCACUCAGCACCUAGGCCAGGGUGGGGCCGCCGCAGGAAGCCCCGGGUGCACUCAGCGGAAGCCCUGCCUUGCAGUUGCCAAAAGCUGCAGCAGGGGAAUGAGGCAAGGCACGCUGGGCUCUGGCAGCCCCUGGGGACUGGGCACUGCCCCUGGGAGGGGAGAGCCUAGCCAGGGCUGGGGUUGGGCCUGGAGCAGCAUCUUCCGGUGCUAUCCUCCCUUCCCACCCCUCACAGCUCAAGCCAAGUCUGGCGGCUGCAGCCUCCAUUUCUCUACACUCACUUUUUAUCUGGUGUUUUUACUUCUGCCUGUGCUUGCUUUCUAGCCAAUAAAGCCUCCUCGUGUGCGAGUUACCUGGGCUCCUGUCAGGGCCUGGCCUGGACAGUGGGAAGGGUAGCC